rnacentral:rRNA from 1 species
UACGUAGCAGCGAGCGUUGUUCGGAGUUACUGGGCGUAAAGAGUGCGUAGGCGGUUUUCUAAGUUUGGUGUGAAAUCUCCCGGCUUAACUGGGAGGGUGCGCCGAAAACUGGAAGGCUUGAGUAUGGGAGAGGUAAGCGGAAUUCCUGGUGUAGCGGUGAAAUGCGUAGAUAUCAGGAGGAACACCUGCGGUGUAGACGGCUUACUGGACCAUAACUGACGCUGAGGCACGAAAGCGUGGGUAGCAAACAGG